rnacentral:tRNA from 1 species
UGGUGUAGCUCAGUUGGUAGAGCAGCUGACUUGUAAUCAGCCGGUCGGGGGUUCGACUCCUCUCACC